UACGGAGGGAGCUAGCGUUGUUCGGAAUUACUGGGCGUAAAGCGCACGUAGGCGGCUUUGUAAGUUAGAGGUGAAAGCCCGGGGCUCAACUCCGGAACUGCCUUUAAGACUGCAUCGCUUGAAUCCAGGAGAGGUGAGUGGGAAUUCCGAGUGUAGAGGUGAAAUUCGAUAGAUAUCGGGAGGAACACCGAGUGGCGAAGGCGGCGACCUGGUUCAAUACUGACGGCUGAGGUGCGAAAGCGUGGGGAGCAA
rnacentral:rRNA from 1 species